rnacentral:tmRNA from 1 species
CCCCUUCAAAUCCGCGAACCGUGCGCCUAUAUCGGUUGUGCCGGGUUCGCCCGGCUAUGGUGAUAAAUGAUGUCGCAUAAUAGAUGCAGCGGACCCGGGGGCGGUACCCGGCGGCUCCACCAGAAGGCCCGGAAACGGGGUUCCUGACGGGGCCGAACUAGGAUCGACGUGUGUUCAAAGGCGAUGUUUUUGCCCGGCCUGAAUGAGCCGUAAAACCGUUCAAACUCACAAGUGCUAACGAUAACGAAGCACUCGCGAUCGCCGCGUAACCUAGUCCUCACGGACGACGUUACUAAGGCUUAGCGCGGUUCGGUCCGCACCGGGCAACAGAAGCGGAAUCCAGCGGUUCGGGAGGCACCGGGCAACAGAAGCCUCCCACU